rnacentral:rRNA from 1 species
UACAGAGGUGGCAAGCGUUGUUCGGAAUUACUGGGCGUAAAGGGCGCGUAGGCGGCCUUCUAAGUCAGACGUGAAAUCCCCCGGCUUAACCUGGGAACUGCGUCUGAUACUGGAGGGCUUGAGUGCGGGAGAGGGAUGUGGAAUUCCAGGUGUAGCGGUGAAAUGCGUAGAUAUCUGGAGGAACACCGGUGGCGAAGGCGGCAUCCUGGACCGACACUGACGCUAAGGCGCGAAAGCUAGGGUAGCAAACGGG